UUCAGGGUCAUUGUAAACUGGAUUUGGCAAAGAUAAGGGCCCGCAUGGGUUUUGCAGGUGGAAAUUGGCCGAGAAUGGCAAGAGCAUUAAUUGCUCUGCCAAUUCUCAACCAUUUCCACCAAUACCCACCCAAACACGCAAUUCGAGUGGAACAAGGAGCAUCUUCCAAGUCCAUUCUCGACAACAAGUUACGCUUAAAGAAGCCCAACACCUUUCAUUGAUUGAGGCCGAUGAACAAAUAAGGGAAGCAAAUAUGAUGAAGGCCCACUUAUGAGUGAAAAUAGGCAAACUGGUGGGCUUAGGUAGGCCCACCAGCCUAACCCUUUUCUCCUAUAUAUACACAUAUGUGACUUGUAUAUUAUUUGUAUAUAUGUUGUAUAUGUAAACAACACGCGUACAUAUUGAAACCUCUUAUGGAUGCUAUAACUUUGGGA